GGCUCAAUUACUGAAGGAUUGCUAAAUCUUUCCCCUCAAAGCUUGAUUACUAGAGGAAUUUUUCCUGAACUGAGGCACAGACAGCCCACCUCUCCUGAAUGUAAACAGCUUGAGAGCCUUUGGCAGAGGCUUCCCCUCCUGAUCCAUCCUAGCUGCUCUAGAUCAACCAAGACACAGGCAGAUGGAAAUGAACAACAGAGAAAGAGGGCCAUGCUAAAGCUUCUCUUGCUGUAUACCAGGGGUGGGGAACUUGUGGCCCUCCAGACAUUGGAGUACAACUCCCAUGAUCCCUGACCCAUUGGCUGUGCUAGUUCGGGCUGAUGGAGGUUGAAACCAGCAACAUCCAGAAAGCUACAUGUUCCCUUCUUCUGCUGUGAACACUCAAAGAAGAAUUGUGUUUGAGAUCCCUUGGGCUGUGUGUCAGAUUUCAUCGCAGAGGGUGGACCCAAUAUGAGGUCAGCCCUUGCUCAAUUCAAAAUAUGGUCGCUAUUUUAAAACAGACUAGCUGCCUAUAGUACUGGCACAGUAUGGUGGAUGUUGUGGUUUAACAGGAAACAAACUUCCAAGUGGAGGGGAGUAACCUUGUGAUCAUCAUAGCUUAGCCAGCUUCUACAGGAAACAGGAAGAGCUGGUUUCUCCUCAGCUGAGUUCCCAAAGGUUGCUUGUGUCUAUAAAACAGAUGUACCCAUUGUGGGAUUUGGGUGGCGCUGUGGGUUAAACCCCAGAGCCUAGGGCUUGCCAAUCAGAAGGUCGGCGGUUCGAAUCCCUGCGACGGGAUGAGCUCCCAUUGCUCGGUCCCUGCUCCUGCCAACCUAGCAGUCCGAAAGCACGUCAAAGUGCAAGUAGAUAAAUAGGUACCGCUCCGGCGGGAAGGUAAAAGGCAUUUCCGUGCGCUGCUCUGGUUCGCCAGAAGCGGCUUAGUAAUGGUGGCCACAUGACCCGGAAGCUGUAUGCCGGCUCCCUUGGCCAGUAAAGCGAGAUGAGCACCCCAACCCCAGAGUCGGCCACGACUGGACCUAAUGGUCAGGGGUCCCUUUACCUUUACCCAUUGUGGUGCUUUCCAGAAGUUGUUGGACUACAGGCGUGCCAAGUAGGGGAUGGCUGAGGGGUCUUCAGCCCCCUCCAAAAAAAAUUCAAGGAGGGGGCUGGGCUCCUCCAAAAUCCUGUGGCCCCGCUCUGCCUCCUUCUCUCCGCCCAAUGUCAUGCAGGAAGGUGGAGGCCAAGCGCAUCCCAACCGGGCACAUGAGCACUGGCAUGCUAGGUAGGGGUGAUGCGUCACGUAAUGGACCCCCGAAAUGUGGGGGGGGGGAGUCGGCGCCCUUGUUGGAGUACAACUCUCAUCAGCCCCAGCCAGCAUGGCUAAUAGGGAUUGCUGAUGGGAGUUGCAAAGCAAAGCACAGUUUGGUAUGGUUUCAAAUUGGUUGUGAGUCCAUGUGUUGAGGUUCCUGCAUUGCAGGGGGGUUGGACUCGAUGACCCUCAAGGUCUCUUCCAACUCUACAGUUCUAACAUCUGGAAGGUACCAUUUUGGAUAUUCCUGCUCUAAAGGGAUUAAGUGUAGAUCAACAGCAAGUUCACCACUCAAAUAUGUCUGAUUGUAUGUCUGGUGCUCAGGGGUCAGGUUUAUGUGUGUUGAUUUGUGAGAAGCUGGUGAGUCGAUGGCAAAGGGAGUUUGGCCUUAACAAUGUUUGGCCUCUUUCUAAUUCUGUCAGUCCAUUAGUUGCGGACUAGCAAUAGCCAAAACAUACUUUGCUUGCCAAAAAGAAUAACCAUCUCCGUCCCUCUCAUCUUUGGACACACCGCCACCUUUCAAGCCAAAGCUGAGUUCUUGGCGGGAAUUCGCUCAUUUCCCCCCUGCUCUUCCUGAUUUCAUUUGGCAUACGCACUGAAGGGGGAAAAGUGCAAUUGAAUCUAUCCUUUCGGUAUCUGAAUUCCCAUAAACCUUUCUUCUCCUAAUGCAAAAUCUUGGAAACAGUGCAAGGACAACAUGUUGCCAAACGAUUUUGCAAUCUGAUUUUUAGACCAGAGGGUUUCACAUAAUUUGGCAGAGGGUUUUUUUGGUAUUUUAUCUGCUGGAUGCCUACCCACAAUAUACCUCUGAGCACAUUACUUUGCCUUCCCUAAUUGCUACCUGACAAUGAGUUUACAGCAUUUCUUUUGGAUUUAUGCUUUUAUUCCAAGUUGCCUCCAGAGCCAGGCUUUGCAAGCAUUGGGGGGGAAAUGUGGUUAUCAUUGCCAAGCUAGGUGCAAGAGUGAAGGUUAUAGGGUCAGAAAGGGAAAGGAAUGGCUUUGAUGGAAAACUGAUGGCAUCUACCAUGGGGCUGUUUUAUUGUGAAAUGAACUGCAUUUGCCAAAUAAUGCUAUCCAACUAGAACGGCUGUCCAUAUUAAGACACUUCUGAAGGAGAUGAUGCUCGAUCAAAUCUUCAUGAUCAGGUCAUCCCAAGCAAGGGUAGGCUAACACACUGCUUCCCCCAUGUCCAGGUCUCAUACUGCACCAAUUACUGAAAGAGGAAAGCAUCUGGGAGAGGUGUGCACUGCACAUCCCUGGGGGACCACUAUUAUCUUAUGAGGCUGUUUUGCAAGGCUUCCUUGUUUCAAUGUGUCAGUAGCUCUUUACCACACAUGAGUUGGUCUUAUGCUCAAAUGUCAGCAUCCUGAGAACCUCGGCUUCAAAGGAAAAUCGCUUUCGCUUCUGGCUCAUAAGGCUAUGGAGAAAGUGUGUCUAUUGUUGGUGUUUCAUUUUGUUUUAUGAGUUCACCUGCAUAUUCAUUCUUGUAAUGCAAAAGAAUUGUAAGUACAUAAUGAAGAUGAAACACUGGGGGUGCCCCAACAGCAAAAUCCAGCUUUUCUUAAUAGAACGCCUUCUCCACUUUGACCCAUAUCAAUGUCGUCAGUGAACUUUGCUCAUGCAGCAAAAGUAAACAAAGAACCACUCUUUUUUUUUGUAGUAUACCUUUUUUAUUAAACUUUUCAAACAUUUUUACAAUAAUCUUUGUAUUAAAUAGUUACAUUGUUUCAUAAAUUGUCUUCCCACUCCCACCUCUGCAGUGCUUUUAAUCGAACCUUUUCUACCACAUUAUAUCUUCAUCUGUUACAAGAAGUUUAUCUGUUGCAGUUCUUUAGCAAAUAACUAUUCUUAGUAGCUGCCUAACACCUAUGCAAUUCCAUUGUCCU